AUUGAACGCUGGCGGCAGGCCUAACACAUGCAAGUCGAGCGGUUGACGGGAGCUUGCUCCCUGAUUCAGCGGCGGACGGGUGAGUAAUGCCUAGGAAUCUGCCUAUUAGUGGGGGACAACGUUUCGAAAGGAACGCUAAUACCGCAUACGUCCUACGGGAGAAAGCAGGGGACCUUCGGGCCUUGCGCUAAUAGAUGAGCCUAGGUCGGAUUAGCUUGUUGGUGAGGUAAUGGCUCACCAGGGCGACGAUCCGUAACUGGUCUGAGAGGAUGAUCAGUCACACUGGAACUGAGACACGGUCCAGACUCCUACGGGAGGCAGCAGUGGGGAAUAUUGGACAAUGGGCGAAAGCCUGAUCCAGCCAUGCCGCGUGUGUGAAGAAGGUCUUCGGAUUGUAAAGCACUUUAAGUUGGGAGGAAGGGUUGUAGAUUAAUACUCUGCAAUUUUGACGUUACCGACAGAAUAAGCACCGGCUAACUCUGUGCCAGCCGCCGCAGUAAUAC
rnacentral:rRNA from 1 species